GACGAACCGUCCAAACGUUAUUCGGAAUUAUUGGGCUUAAAGGGUGCGUAGGCUGUGCAGUAAGUUGGGUGUGAAAUCCCUCGCUCAACCGAGGAACUGCGCCGAAUACUGCUGUGCUAGAGGAAGAUAGGGGGUAAGCGGAACUGAUGGUGGAGCGGUGAAAUGCGUUGAUAUCAUCAGGAACACCGGUGGCGAAGGCGGCUUACUGGAUCUUUUCUGACGCUGAUGCACGAAAGCUAGGGGAGCGAACGGGAGUUAG
rnacentral:rRNA from 1 species